CUUGUAUGUUCUCUUCUUCUUCGUCAAUUAAUUUAUUUUCCUAUCUCAAUUUCAUACCUUGUUUCUUCUUCCUCAAUUAACAUUUUUCUGGGUUUGUUUCGUUUUUGCAGCUAGAAACCAAUUUCUUGAAGAUCUUUCAGCUUUUGUAACUUUUUUCAACUUUCCUUUUUCAUCCUUGUCUUUCAAACAAGAUAAGAUGUUAAAGUUUCAAUCUUUCUUCGUUUUUUCUCUUCAGACCAUCGGUGGUGAUGCCAGCCAUCUAAAUCUUCUUCCCCAGGAAUCUUCCACAACCCGUAAAGUACCCAUUGGAAUAGUUUAUUCAGCAUAUAAUUGAUCUGAAGGUGAGACUAUGCUGUGAAUCUUGCAAUAACCAGCUCAAAAAGAUAUUGAAAGACAAGGCCCAAGUUGAACGAUUCAUUAUUGGAAAUGUUUCGAAAUGAGUAUAUUGGAACUGCUCCAUACAUAUCCUGCACGCCUUCUCUUCAUCACCAUAGACUCUGCCCAAGAGAUCAAUUUUUGAUCCUCUCAUCCGAUGGCUUAUAUCAGUAUCUGACCAAUCAGGAAGUGUUUUCAAAUGUUGAGAGUUUUAUGGAGAAGUUUCCAAAUGGUGAUCCUACACAACACCUAAUAAAGGAGUUGCUCUUUCAUGCAGCUGACAAAGCUGGAAAAAAUAAUACAGUUGUAACAUGAAACACAAGCAGGGGAAAGUGAAAAAACAAAAGCAGAAAUAUGUGAGGAAGUUCUGGGUAAAGCUUCUGGAUAUAACCAAAAUUUUGCAUUUUCACAUACUCAACAUCAUGAUAUUGCAGUAGAAGCAGAGUUAAGGUGCAUAGUGCAACAAAAAAAAAAAAACAAAAAAAAAAAAGAUUAAACAAUUGGAGGAGAAGCUUAUCUUAUUUGAUCAACAAAAAGAGAAAAUAAAAAGUCUUGAACAACAAUAAUUUGUCCUGUUGGAGAUGAUGAAGCAGCUAACUAUAGCCCUUGAACUACAACAAUAUGAUAAAGCUCCAACUCAACAGCCAUUGCCAUCUCCAACUGAUGAAGACUCGUCCUCAUCAGAUACAACUAUUUCAAAAACCUCAACUGAUGACACUUGAGAUGCUAACAAUAUUGGUGGUUAGUUUUUUGUUGUAUGGGCAGUAGAUAUUUUGACAUGGGACUAGGACCAUCUUUUUAGGAUUGU